AUCACCCCACCUGGGCGAGAUGAGAAUCUAAGACUGAGGCAAAUUAACAAAAUGUUCAUUCAUAAAUGAAUGUCCUGCCUUUUUUCGCUAUCAUUAAAGAUUAAGUCUUGAUACGUAAAUGCAUAUUCUGCUUUCAACUUGUUUAAAAAACCUAGGCGUCGUCGCUAACUGAGUAAACAGUAACCACUUUGUGCAUAGGCAAGACAAAGCAUUUAAGAUGAAGGUCGUAGCUGUUUGCCUGUUGGUUGUCGCCAUUGCUCUGGUCACGUGUCCUGGGGACGUAGUCGGCGCCAGGCCCUCCUCGGUGUACUGCAAGUACAAGUGCCGUGAUGUAGAGCAAGAGUGUUUGAUGUACGGACUGGAUCCCAUUUCGUGCCACGAGGCGAAACAGCUGUGCGUCCAUCUAUGCUACUAGGAUUGGGGAUCCAACCAAUGAAUAGAAUCAUCCUGCAAACCCGCUCACAUCUAUUCUACUACAAUAAAAUCGUCUUAAAUGCAAA